ACCCAAUUUUUCCUUUGAGACCCCCUCAAUAACUCUGUUCUUAAGGCCCCAAGUUAGGAAUCAGCUUGCAAAGUAUUGUAUUUCCUAACAAAUACAUUGUUUGGUCCUGUGUGAUCUCCCCCCCCCCCUUUUUUUGGUAAAAAGCAGCUAUGGCAUGGGGUGGGGAUCUGCACCCCUGUGCCAUUCCAUAUUCCCCCACCUAAGCAUGUGAGAAGCUCCUUCCUCAUUUUACUGAACUCCCUCCCAACAAAUAUAACAAACCAUAUCUUCAAUCCCUAGAACACAUUUCCCCCCAAAGCAUCUUUCUCCCGUCCUGCAAAGUAAGUGAGUUGCUCCUCAAGCUUUCCCUCUCCUUUUACCCCUGCAGGGGGAGAGAAAUUUAACCCUUUCUUCCUGCUGCAGUCCCAAUCUGGAUCAGCCCUCCCUUUCCAGCCGCUAUUUGCCCUGGGUGGGAAGCGGACAUUGCCAGCUUCUGUCCCAGGACAAAUAGCUGUGGGGGCCCUGAUGGAGAUCAGGAUCACAAUGGUGGAAAGCUUCACCUCCCUCACCCUUCUCUGUUAUAGUCCCAAUUAAGACCAGGAGCCCCCAGAGCUGGUACACAAAGCUCAGACAGAUACAGGGCCAAGCCAUGUCUUGUUUGCCAGGCAGCUUUCUUUUUGUCCACACACUCUAGACUUAGACCAGGCAGAGUGACUCCUGUUCCAGGAAACCGGAACAACAAUGGCACCUUAGUGAGUCUGUUGUCCAUGAUCAUGGAAAACCAACACUAGUGAGUGCCACUAAGCUCAAAAGAACAUGGCUGCAACAAUAUCCCAUUUGCAAAGAAGUGUGACAAGUUACUACUAAAUGCAGGAACUUGUGACACACUGCUCCACCUACUUGGGCACUGCUUGGAGAGAAACAAACUGCAAGUUGGAAUGUGGGCAGCAAAAAAAAAAAAAAAAAGAGGACAGAUUUUUUGCAGCUGAGAGAGGUAUCUCUGAAGAAUCUUGCUCAGUUUCAUGGUUGAGCUGCUUAUCUUUGGGGUUCUCUUGAAUUUCAUUUACUGUUGCAGUAACCAUUACGUGGGACAGAUGGGAGACUACAUGUGAGCACGGUGAGAUCUUCCACUUAGGAGAUCUGGGAAGAGCAGAAGGUUCCAA